rnacentral:lncRNA from 1 species
ACUAUUUUGAAAAUAAGUGAUCAGCACUGAUUUAUCCAACUUGUGCAAGACAUUGCUGAUAUAAAUAUAUGAGACAAGUUUCAUAAAAAUCUGUCAAGAAAACUAACUUGUGAGAAAGCUAACAAGACAAGACAGACAGUUAGACCAAUGGAUGGAUGACUGAUAUUUCAAUAUUCUCUCCAUUGCCUUACAUAGGGGACAAC